rnacentral:lncRNA from 1 species
GGGGUAAGCCUUAGGAGUUUUAUAUAAAAAGCCAAUUGCAUUUCGACGCCAAUUCCUCACUCCUCUCUUUCUCUCUCACACACACACACACCCAAACUCUCUCUUUUCUCCCCUUCCAUUUUUCCUUUCUCCCCAAACACCUCUUAUUUUCCCGGGAAUCUUAUUAUUUUCUCGGGAAAAUCACCCCUCCUUCUUUCAAUGCUUCUUCUUCUUCCUUAAAACACCAAACCCACAAAAAC